rnacentral:rRNA from 1 species
GACGAACGCUGGCGGCGUGCUUAACACAUGCAAGUCGAACGAUGAAGCCGGAGCUUGCUCUGGUGGGUUAGUGGCGAACGGGUGAGUAACACGUGAGUAACCUGCCCUUGACUCUGGGAUGAGCGUUGGAAACGACGUCUAAUACCGGAUACGAGCUGGGACCGCAUGGUCACCAGCUGGAAAGAACUUCGGUCAAGGAUGGACUCGCGGCCUAUCAGCUAGUUGGUGAGGUAACGGCUCACCAAGGCGACGACGGGUAGCCGGCCUGAGAGGGUGACCGGCCACAUUGGGACUGAGACACGGCCCAGACUCCUACGGGAGGCAGCAGUGGGGAAUAUUGCACAAUGGGGGCAAGCCUGAUGCAGCAACGCCGCGUGAGGGACGACGGCCUUCGGGUUGUAAACCUCUUUUAGCAGGGAAGAAGCGAAAGUGACGGUACCUGCAGAAAAAGCACCGGCUAACUACGUGCCAGCCGCCGCCGUAAGAC